CAGCUUUACUUACCUUAGUGGGGUCUAUAUAUGUGGAAACAUCUUACAUGUCAGACACUGGAUUUUCAGCCAUGUUAUGUACUACAGCUGGAUCUCUUAUGUUAAUAGUUUACACUGGUUUUAUUUUGUAUGACCAGAAAUACAUUAAACAUGACAGGUUAUCAAACGUGAAGGUGCAGAAGUGUAAACAUAUAUCGUCAAACGCAAACAGAAGAAGUCAGACGACGACAUCCGCUUUCGUUCGAAAAUAAAUUUCAAAGUGAUGUUAAAUUACUUUAAAAAAUGUAAUCAAUGUUCAUUGAAUCACUACACAUGAUGUUCGGUGUGUUUUCACGGUUACCUAAGUUGAAAUCAGCGAUAUAUAUUUCUAGGAUGUGGCCAGUUUUCGUGUGUUUUUUAAGUUGACCAUCCAGCCCUAAAGCUGAGUUAUCUGCAUCAAAAAACAGGUGGUUGAUAGUAUCUGCUGAUCUCUUGUAAAGUAAUUUAAAUUUCCAAAAUAUUCUAAGUAUUUUCUUUCGUAAAACGGUAUUAUCAGUGUUGUUCAACGAGUGUGUGUCCACGACAGUACAUAAACAGACUCAAUCAAACUGCGCUUGCAAUAGUGAUGGACAAAUCGGUUAUAUUUGCCAACCGAUUAAUCGGAACAAUCGGAUAAGCCAACCGAUUCAAUAAAUUGGACAUAAUCGGAUAAUCGGUUAUUCAUAACUUAUUUUAGUUGCGUAUCUGUAAGUUAACCUUUAACUUUGUUUUACACAUACACAAUGUCAUUUGAAGUACUUAAGAAAUAAUUAAAAGGAAUAAAACACUUAAAAACUGUA